rnacentral:lncRNA from 1 species
AGACAUAGAUUAUUAAUAUAGUAUUACCGGAUAGAUAGGCAACUCACUGUAAAAAUUUGGUUCCUUUCGCCACUUGCGACCGUAGUGUUAACUAAUCACCAUUUGGCGGGAAAUUUAAAUGGACAAGCAUUAAUUUCAUCCGUUCAGCGCCUCUUGCGGGCCCUUUCGUUACUAAUUAAAAUAUCUUCUUAUAAUCUCACCUAUAUUAUUAAAAUAAAAUACCAGAACUUACUAAGCUUGUUAAAGUAUUUUAUUUAAAUAAUAUCUAAGUAAUACUCAUAAAUUAUUCGGAAUUCCCAAGUUACAAAAAUAUGUUAUUUUUGCUGUCAAAUUUAGUAAGGAAAAGGGAUAUAAAAAAAGUUAUGACAAUGUUUUUCUAAAUAUAGGUACGUGUAUUUAUUUGUUGUUUCAGAUAAAACAGUUAUAAACUAAUUACUAUUUACCUAUCUAUGCAUUUUUCUAACUUUUCUAUGAUUUGUACACAACGGUACACAACAAUAAUAAACCAUGUUCAGUUUUUUUAUUAACACAACACAAAAGUUCUUUCGUUUCGUAACUAAAACAAAACUACACUUUAUCAACGAAGGAUAAGGAACCAACUUAAAUUGAAAUUACUAAGAACAAAUCGUUAAAGGUAAUACAAUAAAAAAUAAAAACUGUAAACUAAUGGAAAUUUUUUUCCACUAACUGGCACUAACUGUCAUUACUUUUGACAGAAUUGACAUUGCCGAGUUAAGCCUCGUUUGAUUAUUUUAUUUAUGACAUUCAGAUAUGGCGUUAACAUAAAUGAUUGGUUAAAGUCUUCGUGAGCGAGAUAGGCUGUCAUUUCUCUUUAUUAGCUGACGGUAGUGAAAGUGAUGGGGGAAAUUCCCCAGUUUGUUCAUAUAAGAUUCCGGGGCAUGGAACACAGAACUCGACUCUGGAUUUUUGGGGACGAUGGUUAUCAAAUAUAAAUAAACAAAUUUGUUAUGGCUUUUCCUAUAAAAGCACCUAAAAGUAGCCGUGCACCUUCAAAACUUUCCUGGAUGUUUUUAUUUUCUUUUAUAUAGAAGUAGUUUAGUAUUAACGAAACAAAUUAAUAGAUGGAAAUCACAUCAACCAUAGUGCCAUACUCUGAAUCUACAAUUCAUAGUUGACUGGAGAAUUAAUUUCAGUCCGUAACACAAUUUUUGGAGUUUUUUAUGAACCAG